rnacentral:rRNA from 1 species
GUACACGCUGUGACUAGCAUAUCAAUAAGCGGAGGAAAAGAAACUAACAAGGAUUCCCCUAGUAACGGCGAGUGAAGCGGGAAGAGCUCAAAUUUGAAAUCUUAAAGGGUUUCCCUUUACGAAUUGUAGUUUAAAGAAGUGUUUUCUGUUGAGGUUUUGGUAAAAGUUCUUUGGAAUAGGACAUCAUAGAGGGUGAGAAUCCCGUAUUUGACCUUUACUUUCAACUUUGUGAUACACUUUCAAAGAGUCGGAUUGUUUGGGAAUGUAGUCCAAAAUGGGUGGUAAAUUUCAUCUAAAGCUAAAUAUUGGCGAGAGACCGAUAGCGAACAAGUACCGUGAGGGAAAGAUGAAAAGAACUUUGAAAAGAGAGUUAAACAGUACGUGAAAUUGUCAAAAGGGAAGCGUUUGACACCAGUGUUGUUUUUCUGAAAAUCAAUUAAAGAACUGUUUAUGCUAAGUUGUUUAGACUUUAUCAGCUAACUGUUUAGUUUUGAGCUUUUCUUUAAUGCACUUUUCAGUUAACAAGUCAACAUCAAUUUCUUUUGCUGUAAAAAAGCUUGAGGAAGGUGGCUUGAGAUUCGUCUUAAGUGUUUAUAGCCUCUUGCCUAUGCAGUCGGAGAGAUUGAGGUCUGCAGCGUAGAUCCUUCGGGGCUAAAUGCAUUUGUGCUAAGUUAUAGCAUUUUAUAGACAACUUGUUGACUAUGAUUUGUCUUGUAGCUUACUCGCUUAUGUUAUUUUACCUACGCUUAGGAUGUUGAAGAUGUAGCACAUCAU